rnacentral:rRNA from 1 species
GACGAACGCUGGCGGCGUGCUUAACACAUGCAAGUCGAACGGUAAGGCCCCAGCUUGCUGGGGUACACGAGUGGCGAACGGGUGAGUAACACGUGGGUGACCUGCCCCGCACUUCGGGAUAAGCCUGGGAAACUGGGUCUAAUACCGGAUAGGACCGCACCGUGAGGGUGUGGUGGAAAGUUUUUCGGUGUGGGCUGGGCCCGCGGCCUAUCAGCUUGUUGGUGGGGUAAUGGCCUACCAAGGCGGCGACGGGUAGCCGGCCUGAGAGGGUGGACGGCCACAUUGGGACUGAGACACGGACCAGACUCCUACGGGAGGCAGCAGUGGGGAAUAUUGCACAAUGGGCGGAAGCCUGAUGCAGCGACGCCGCGUGGGGGAUGACGGCCUUCGGGUUGUAAACUCCUUUCACCAUCGACGAAGGUUUUCUGACGGUAGAUGGAGAAGAAGCACCGGCUAACUACGUG